rnacentral:rRNA from 1 species
UUCUUGGUCCCAUUAGAGGAAGUAAAAGUCGUAACAAGGUUUCCGUAGGUGAACCUGCGGAAGGAUCAUUAUUGAAAUCUGCUGGGGAAGCGUUGAGGGGUUGGGGUUGUCGCUGGCCUUUCAGGCAUGUGCACGCCUCGUCUCUUCGGCGUGGACCCGACUCUCAUAUACACCUGUGCACCUCUUGUAGGUUUUUCCCUCGAAAGGGGGAAGGACCUAUGUCUUUCAUAAACUCGUAUGUCUAUAGAAGGUCUAUGUUUAACGUCGUUCGCGGCGAUAAAUAUAUUAUGAAACAACUUUCAGCAAUGGAUCUCUUGGCUCUCGCAUCGAUGAAGAACGCAGCGAAUUGCGAUAAGUAAUGUGAAUUGCAGAUUUUCAGUGAAUCAUCGAAUCUUUGAACGCACCUUGCGCUCCUUGGUAUUCCUUGGAGCAUGCCUGUUUGAGUGUCAUCGAAUUCUCAACCAUGUCUCGAUUGAUUUCGAGGGCAUGGCUUGGAUCUGGGGGUUGCUGGCUUGCGCGAGCGAGUCGGCUCUCCUGAAAUGCAUUAGCAGAGGCGUAGUCCUUCGUGCACGGCCUUGGACGUGAUAAUGAUCGUCGUGGCUGGAGCGAUGGGACGUGUUGGUCGCUGCUUCGAACUCUGAUACGAUCCCUAGUGGAUCGGAUCCUUGAAACUUGACCUCAAAUCAGGUAGGACUACCCGCUGAACUUAAGCAUAUCAUA